UACAGAGGUCUCAAGCGUUGUUCGGAUUCAUUGGGCUUAAAGGGCGCGUAGGCGGGCUGCCAAGUCUGGGGUGAAAUCCCACGGCUCAACCGUGGAACUGCCUCGGAUACUGGCGGCCUCGAGGGAGGUAGGGGCGUGCGGAACUGUGGGUGGAGCGGUGAAAUGCGUUGAUAUCCACAGGAACUCCGGUGGCGAAGGCGGCACGCUGGACCUCUUCUGACGCUGAGGCGCGAAAGCCAGGGGAGCAAACGGG
rnacentral:rRNA from 1 species